AAAAAAACAAAUAACCCAAUCAAUAAAUGGGCAAGGAACUGAACAGAUACUUCUCAGAAGAAGAUACAUAAUCAAUUAACAAAUAUAUGAAAAAAUGUUCAACAUAUCUAGCAAUUAUAGAAAUGCAAAUCAAAACUAGUGUAAGAUUUUAUCUAACUCCAGUCAGAAUGGCAGUUAUCAAGAGUACAAGCAACAAUAAGUGUUGGUGAGGAUGUGGGGAAAGAGGUACAUUCAACAUUGCUGGAGGGACUAUAGAUUGGUAGUCCUACCACACUCCUUGGUCUAUACCCAGAGGUCUUAAAAUCUGCAUACUUCAGUGACACAGCCACAUCAAUAUUUAUAGCAGCUCAAUUCACAAUAGCUAAACUAGGCGUCCUUCACCAGAUGAAUGGAUAAAGAAUAUGUAAUUUAUAUACACAAUGGAAUAUUAUAUAGCCUUAAAGAAGAAUGAAAUUCUGGCAUUUGUGCAUAAAGGGAUGGAACUGGAGAGUAUCAUGCUGAAUGAACUAAGCCCACCCCAAAACCAAAGGCGGAAUUUUUUUCUCUGAUAUUCAAAUACUAAUUCCCAAUAAGGUGGGGUGCUAGGGAAAAAUACAGGUACUUUGAUUUAGACAGAAGGGAGUGAAGGGAAUUGAGGAAGUAUGGGGGUAGGAAUAAUAGAAGAAUGAAUGUGACAUUAUUACCCUAUGUGCAUAUAUGAUUACAUGACCUGUGUGAGUAUACAUUAUGUACAACCAGAAGACUGAGAAAAAUAAUACCCCAUUUAUGUAUGAUAUAUCAAGAUGCAUUCUACUGUCAUGUGUAACUAAUUAAUAAAAUUUUUAAAAAGAAUAAAAACACAAAAAAGAUAUGAGUUAAAUAC
rnacentral:lncRNA from 1 species